AUUGAACGCUGGCGGCAGGCCUAACACAUGCAAGUCGAACGGUAACAGGAAGAAGCUUGCUUCUUUGCUGACGAGUGGCGGACGGGUGAGUAAUGUCUGGGAAACUGCCUGAUGGAGGGGGAUAACUACUGGAAACGGUAGCUAAUACCGCAUAACGCCGCAAGACCAAAGAGGGGGACCUUCGGGCCUCUUGCCAUCGGAUGUGCCCAGAUGGGAUUAGCUAGUAGGUGGGGUAACGGCUCACCUAGGCGACGAUCCCUAGCUGGUCUGAGAGGAUGACCAGCCACACUGGAACUGAGACACGGUCCAGACUCCUACGGGAGGCAGCAGUGGGGAAUAUUGCACAAUGGGCGCAAGCCUGAUGCAGCCAUGCCGCGUGUAUGAAGAAGGCCUUCGGGUUGUAAAGUACUUUCAGCGGGGAGGAAGGGAGUAAAGUUAAUACCUUUACUCAUUGACGUUACCCGCAGAAGAAGCACCGGCUAACUCCGUG
rnacentral:rRNA from 1 species